rnacentral:lncRNA from 1 species
AAGAGAGAAAAGGCUGUGGUUUAUAAACUUGUAGCUUUAGUCGGCUUGGCUGGAUGUAGGGAGCAGAUAGAACUUGAGUGGGAACGGACAGAGAAAAGUGGGCAGCAGGAAGCUUGCUUCUGCCAUAAAGUGGUUUUAAUAUCACCUGAGGGUAUCAGAGGCCUCUAAAGUGUAAUAUGCAAAAUUUCAAGGUCUGUACCUAAAAUUUAUGGUUCAGAGAAAAUUUCAUCUAUACAUCCAGAAGUGGUUAGAGCAGAAGAAAGCUUUGACUCAAAUUAACUAAACUCACAAAUGGUUAAGGUAUAAAUUGGAAUGGCAAUUUGUAAAAUUUGAAUAGCAUUUGACUAUCCAGGGGAAUGGCCUGAUAAUCAGGAUAGCCACUCUCUGUGGUUAAUCACGUUUGACUCCAGCUUGGAAAGAAGAACAUGAACUCAAAGCAGGAGAAUUAUGGUACUUGACAUUUCUGUGUUUCUGACCGGCCUGUGAGAAGCACUCUACUCUGCUCAUUCUUGAGACACAUUUUUUGCUUUGAGGAUACCACUUCCUGAGUUUCAUGAUAAUUUCCACCCUGUGAACGUUUUUUGUUGGGUGGUUUGGGUUUUGUCCAUUUAGUGUUCAGAAUUGUAGUGGAAAUAUACUGACCUGGGGAUUUUUCUUGUUUAGAAUUUGUUUCUUCUUCAAAUUUUUCACACAUUUUAAAAUAGAAUACACCUAAAAGAAUGGGAUCUCCUCUGUUAAAAGUUUGGCUAUUUUUCUUGGUGUAUUUAUUUUCAGGUCAUAUACUGACUCUUAGCAGAGCCAAUUUUAAUGUAAUAAUUAAUGUAAUAAAAUUCAAACAAAAACACUUAGAAAAUAGCUGUAAUUCUCCAAACGCAGUGAAGUAUGUCAUUGACAACUGACCAUGUUUCUCCUUUAGUUCUAGAUGAUGCAGUUUUGUUAUUUAUACAUUUUUACAAUUUAUUUUCAGAUUUAUUUUAACAGUUCUGAUAUAUCUCUUAUAAACAGACCAUUAUAUUAGAAUUAGAAUUGAAAUUUGAUACAUAAAAAUGCUCUACAGAAAAAUUUUCUAUGAUUUAUAUAAUUAGGCUUUUAGCAUUUUUGACAUGGCAUUUAAUAGACCAUACAUUUGGUUUUUGUCUGUCACCUGCCAUUUUCAUAUUUGCAUCUUUAAUAAGACCAACCUGAUUGUCAACACUGAAAACUGCUCCAUUUUAACACUACAUGCUUUCAGAUUCCAAGCAUAGUAGAAGCAGUAUUAAUAAAAGGAAUUCCACUUAAUAAUGGCUAAGUUACAAUAAAACAUUUCUCUUACAUGCUCAGAUUUUUAAUUUAAAUGAUACAUUUAUGAAGUAUUUUCUAUGUGUAUGUGUGCGUACAUAUGUAUGUGUGUGUGUAUAUAUAUGUAUAUUUAUGAAUGACUAAAAGUAAACACCAAAUACCUCUAAUCUUAAUCGUAAGAAAUGAACAGAGUAGGGCAUUUAUUUUUAAAAUGGCAGUCUUACAUUCCUCAUGAUAGAGUCGGUGGCUUAGAGAUGUGCUUCUCAAAACUCAGCCUUGGUCAGGUGCAGUGGCUCAUGCCUAUAAUCUCAGCACUUUGGGAGGCCAAGGUGGGAGGAUCACUUGAGCCCAGGAGUUGCAGGCUAGCCUGGGCAAUAUGGCAAAACCUCAUCUCAAAAAAAAAAAAAAAAAAAAAAA